rnacentral:ncRNA from 2 species
CUCUUAUUUAGAGUGGUGGAGGGAAGUGCCCUAUGAAGCCCGGCAACCGUCAUGCAAAUGAAAUGGUGCCAAAUCACACAAAGCGGAAGCUUUGGGAGAUGAGAG